rnacentral:rRNA from 1 species
CGAGUGGCGGACGGGUGAGUAAUGUCUGGGAAACUGCCUGAUGGAGGGGGAUAACUACUGGAAACGGUAGCUAAUACCGCAUAACGUCGCAAGACCAAAGAGGGGGACCUUCGGGCCUCUUGCCAUCGGAUGUGCCCAGAUGGGAUUAGCUAGUAGGUGGGGUAACGGCUCACCUAGGCGACGAUCCCUAGCUGGUCUGAGAGGAUGACCAGCCACACUGGAACUGAGACACGGUCCAGACUCCUACGGGAGGCAGUAUG